rnacentral:rRNA from 1 species
GAUGAACGCUGGCGGCGUGCCUAACACAUGCAAGUCGAACGGAAUUUACAUGAAGCCUAGCGAUUGUAAAUUUAGUGGCGGACGGGUGAGUAACGCGUGGGUAACCUGCCUUGUACUGGGGGUACAACAGUUGGAAACGACUGCUAAUACCGCAUAAGCGCACAGCUUCGCAUGAAGCAGUGUGAAAAACUCCGGUGGUACAAGAUGGACCCGCGUCUGAUUAGCUGGUUGGUGAGGUAACGGCCCACCAAGGCGACGAUCAGUAGCCGGCCUGAGAGGGUGAACGGCCACAUUGGGACUGAGACACGGCCCAAACUCCUACGGGAGGCAGCAGUGGGGAAUAUUGCACAAUGGGGGAAACCCUGAUGCAGCAACGCCGCGUGAGUGAAGAAGUAUUUCGGUAUGUAAAGCUCUAUCAGCAGGAAAGAAAAUGACGGUACCUGACUAAGAAGCCCCGGCUAACUACGUG